rnacentral:lncRNA from 1 species
GGUCUAAGGGAAUUGAAGCCAUUAUCAGUUGGAGCAAGAAUGGUCAAUCCUCCCCCUUGAGAAUUGUUGAGCUGAUUAUCAAGCUGAGUAAUUAAUCUACUUUCAUUCAGCAAACGGAUGAAGGUACUGAAUUGGCCGCCUUCGGACAAAAUGCCGGUUAAGUUGAUGGGUCCAGGAGGAGAUGGACCCGGUGCAGCCGGAGUUUGGGCAAGAGUUUGGCAGAAGAGAGCAAAGGGAAGGAGGAGGAGGAGGAGAGCGGCGGAGGCCAUGGCGGAGAGAGUAGUUAUAAUAGAUAUAGGAGUGAAGGAGAGGAGGAGAUAAGUGGUAAUUUAUAUAUUAAAGGGAGAUGAUGGGAUUGGUUGGGAA